rnacentral:misc_RNA from 1 species
AAGAGACGUUGCCCUUCGGGGUCGACCUCCCACCCUAUGUUUAUCAUACCUCUGUUGCUUUGGCAGGCCCGUCUUCGGACCACCGGCUCCGGCCGGUCCGUGCCUGCCAGAGGACCUAAACUCUGUUUGUCUAUAAUGUCUGAGUACUAUAUAAUAGUUA